UAGUGGUUCGUUCUGGAAAGGGC
rnacentral:piRNA from 1 species